rfam:Firmicutes bacterium CAG:646 genomic scaffold, scf172
UAAGUAGAAUAAAUGGUCGCAGCUGACGGAUCCGAAAGGUGUCAGGUGAGGAAAGUCCGGGCUUCGCAGGGCAGGAUGCCGGAUAACGUCCGGUGGAGGUGACUCCAAGGCCAGUGCAACAGAAAUAUACCGCGUUAGCAAUGAGCCGUGCAGACUGGUCUGUAGGGUUCAUUGCUAACGUAAGGGUGGAAAGGCAGUGUAAGAGACUACCGCCUCUCUGGUAACAGCGAGGGCACAUGUAAACCCCAUCCGAAGCAAGACCGAAUAAAAGCAAUGUGGCUGCCCGUCACGCUUUUAGGUGGGUCGCUGAAGCUUGUUGGUAACAGCAGGAUUAGAUAGAUGACCAUUCACGACAUAACCCGGCUUAUCGUUCUGCUUACGAG